GCCCACUUGCAAUUGAUGUGGACUCCACCAUCAAUCACCUUACCUAAUGUCCUCAUCUCAUCUCUCACCUUGUUAACUCCGUCAAAACGUUAGCCUCCGUCUGCCUAAACCUAGUUAACAUUGGAUUCCAAACGGCUACCAGACGCUAUACUUUAACCUGUCAACUAAGGCACGACACAUUAUUUGUGCACGUGUCCAAAACCCAUUGCGUGAAUUUCUCCGUUGCCGUGACGAAGUCGGUUAUCUCCUGUUCUAUAAAUAAAACGCCGCACGCCUUCCCUUUCCACCGUUGUUAUUCACUUAUUCUCUUCCCUUCUCUCGUGAAGCUCUCGGAAAUUAAUCAAAAA
rnacentral:misc_RNA from 1 species